UGUGAAAUUGCAACCAGCCUGAAGUCACCAGACUCCACCUGAUCUUGGAAGUUAAGCAGCCAUAGUGCUGAUUAGUACUUGGAUAGGGACUGUAUCCAAACAUGGUGAAAUGUCUUGA
rnacentral:rRNA from 11 species